GAUGAACGCUGGCGGCGUGCCUAAUACAUGCAAGUCGAGCGAACAGACGAGGAGCUUGCUCCUCUGACGUUAGCGGCGGACGGGUGAGUAACACGUGGAUAACCUACCUAUAAGACUGGGAUAACUUCGGGAAACCGGAGCUCAUACCGGAUAAUAUAUUGCACCGCAUGGUUCAAUAGUGAAAGACGGUUUUGCUGUCACUUAUAGAUGGAUCCGCGCCGCAUUAGCUAGUUGGUAAGGUAACGGCUUACCAAGGCAACGAUGCGUAGCCGACCUGAGAGGGUGAUCGGCCACACUGGAACUGAGACACGGUCCAGACUCCUACGGGCGGCAGCAGUAGGGAAUCUUCCGCAAUGGGCGAAAGCCUGACGGAGCAACGCCGCGUGAGUGAUGAAGGUCUUCGGAUCGUAAAACUCUGUUAUUAGGGAAGAACAAAUGUGUAAGUAACUAUGCACGUCUUGACGGUACCUAAUCAGAAAGCCACGGCUAACUACGUG
rnacentral:rRNA from 1 species